rnacentral:rRNA from 1 species
ACUGAACGCUGGCGGAAUGCUUUACACAUGCAAGUCGAGCGGCAGCGCGGGGCAACCUGGCGGCGAGCGGCGAACGGGUGAGUAAUGUAUCGGAACGUGCCCUGUCGUGGGGGAUAGCCCGGUGAAAACCGGAUUAAUACCGCAUACGAUCGAGAGAUGAAAGUGGGGGACCGCAAGGCCUCACGCGAUAGGAGCGGCCGAUAUCUGAUUAGCUAGUUGGUGGGGUAAAGGCCCACCAAGGCUUCGAUCAGUAGCUGGUCUGAGAGGAUGAUCAGCCACACUGGGACUGAGACACGGCCCAGACUCCUACGGGAGGCAGCAGUGGGGAAUUUUGGACAAUGGGGGCAACCCUGAUCCAGCCAUUCCGCGUGAGUGAAGAAGGCCUUCGGGUUGUAAAGCUCUUUUGUCCGGGAAGAAACGGUUUUGGCUAAUAACCAAGACUACUGACGGUACCGGAAGAAUAAGGACCGGCUAACUACGUGCCAGCAGCCGCCGUAA